rnacentral:rRNA from 1 species
GACAGAGGGUGCAAACGUUGUUCGGAAUUACUGGGCGUAAAGCGAGUGUAGGCGGUCUGCUAAGUCGGGUGUGAAAGCCCCGGGCUCAACCCGGGAAGUGCACUCGAUACUGCCGAGCUAGAGUAUCGGAGAGGUUGGUGGAAUUCUCGGUGUAGAGGUGAAAUUCGUAGAUAUCGAGAGGAACACCGGUGGCGAAGGCGGCCUACUGGGCUGCACCUGACGCUGAGCCGCGAAAGCCAGGGGAGCGAACGGG